AUCCUUUUCCAUUUCAUAAGCAUGAUGAUCAGGUGAUGACACUUGUGUGUGACAUGCGUCUCCUUUUAAUUUUGUUACUUGGCACAAAACGUAUCUGACA
ensembl:snoRNA